AUAUUUGAAAACUUGGCUUCGAACCAAGGUGUCGUGGGUUCGAGUCCCUCUGAGCGCGCCA
rnacentral:tRNA from 1 species